UCCGUAGGUGANCCUGCGGAAGGAUCAUUAA
rnacentral:rRNA from 1 species